rnacentral:rRNA from 1 species
GAUGAACGCUGGCGGCGUGCCUAAUACAUGCAAGUCGAGCGAACAGAUGAGGAGCUUGCUCCUCUGACGUUAGCGGCGGACGGGUGAGUAACACGUGGAUAACCUACCUAUAAGACUGGGAUAACUUCGGGAAACCGGAGCUAAUACCGGAUAAUACAUUGAACCGCAUGGUUCAAUAGUGAAAGGCGGUUUUGCUGUCACUUAUAGAUGGAUCCGCGCCGCAUUAGCUAGUUGGUAAGGUAACGGCUUACCAAGGCGACGAUGCGUAGCCGACCUGAGAGGGUGAUCGGCCACACUGGAACUGAGACACGGUCCAGACUCCUACGGGAGGCAGCAGUAGGGAAUCUUCCGCAAUGGGCGAAAGCCUGACGGAGCAACGCCGCGUGAGUGAUGAAGGUCUUCGGAUCGUAAAACUCUGUUAUUAGGGAAGAACAAAUGUGUAAGUAACUAUGCACGUCUUGACGGUACCUAAUCAGAAAGCCACGGCUAACUACGUG